rnacentral:rRNA from 1 species
AAAACAACUCUCGGUAACGAAUAUCUCGGCUCUUAUAUCGAUAAAGAACGUAGCGAAAUGCGAUACUUGGUGUGAAUUGUAGAAUCCUGUGAACCAUCAAGUCUUUGAACACAAGUUGCGCCCGAAGCCAUUAGGCCGAAGACAC